GGGUGCUUGAGGCUGUUUGUCUCAGGUAUUCACCGAAAGGCAGACAGAGAAAAGCCCCACCUGACUAUAAAUCAAAGUGUACUGACCCCAAAAAGUUGGACAGUUAAACACGAGGCAUAUAGG
rnacentral:antisense_RNA from 1 species